CCCUCUGGCCCUCUCCUCCUCCGUCACGCCGCCGCGCCCCUGCUCUCCUCCGCCCCCGCCUACCCUCUGCCCCCCAUAUCCGGCUCUCCUCCGCCCCUCGCCUCCCCUCUGCCCCCCAUAUCCAGCUCUCUCCGCGCGAGCUCGCCAACGGGCGCCAUGGCCCCUGCAGGUUGCUUCCCAAGCUCUCCUCCGCAGCACCGUCGACCUCCCCCCUUCCUCGUGCCACCCUACUCCCAGCCUCAAAUCUGCGGCGGCAGGGUGCGCGCUUGGCGGCUGCGGCACCGUGCGGGCAGGGCAGCGGCAGGGUGCCACCGUAAGAAUGAUGGUAGAGAGUGAAUUGACAAGCCUGAAGAGAUACAGACACUUUGUGAGGCAUUACUUUAUUGCAAUCAUUUGUUCUUUUUAGGGCCCCUACACGUGUACUGCAAUUUAGGGUUAGUUUUAAUUUUGCUGUCAAAUCUCAAAUGUAGAUUGAUCUUGUCAGACCUGGAGAUAUUUAAAAGCUAAAAGUAGUUGCAAUACUUGUAUAUAUUUUCUGAAUAAUUAUGUUGGACAAACACUGUUUUUGUUUGAUACAUCAACUGCAAAGGUGGAUGUCAAAUCUUUUCUAGCAAUAGCUCAAGUUUAGCUUCCAUCUAUAAAUGUAAGUUGCGACUAAGUCAUUGAAUGCUAAAAGUAUGAACACACUUUACCUCUUUGUAUCAUUUGCAAGUUGAUUGUUGUACAGUGCAGAACGGGAUAAUUCACCGUGUAUUUUUUCAGAAAUAUAUGCCUCAAGUCAGCAUGUGUAUUGUGUAAUGUGUUGUGUACGAAAUUAACUCUCCUUUUUGGACAUAAGGAAUUUAGCUCGGGAACAAUGCUAUGAUCCAUCUUUGUAUGCUAGAAUAAUACAUAGUAGAAUGUACAAAAAUGUGUGUUCUGUUUGGAUAACUACAUGUGUAAUACUUUGGAUAACCAUAAAUCAAUAUCUUUAUUUUUCUAUGUCUAGCUCAUGUGGUUUCACUGAAUCAUAAUGGUUCAGAAUUAGUAACACAUGUAAAUAGCUACCACAUAUUUCAGGUUAGUGUGUUAGUUUGAUUGAUUAAUUUUGUGAAAUUGUGUUGAAGUUAACUCUUCAUAUAUAGACUUGUAGGAUUGUCAGUGCUUAUGGUAGAUUGCAUAUUUAUGAAUUAUGACUAUGCUCACUUGAGAAAACUAAUUUUUUUUCAUUUACCAUCUACUCCACUUGUGUAGAAAACAUACUACAGAUGAUGUGGUUUGGGGUAUCAUGGGGGUGGCUGAACUAAUGUCUCCCAGUCCUGGAAAUUUGUUUAGAUAGGGUUGUGAUGUAUGGAGGACCAUAUGCAUGUAAAUUGAACUGAUUCAGUUUGUUGGUUACAUAAUCUGGAAGCUGAAUGUUUGAUUUUCUAGCACAAGUCUGAACUGAAUGGUAGUAGCUCUGACUACACAUUGGCUUUUCUGAGAAAUAUUUGACGUAACUGGACUGAUUUAUUAAUCUUUCUCAUCAUCGAUGCACAUGCUGGAUGGCUUCACUAGACAUAGAAACACCUGUGUUUGUUUGAGGUGCAUCAAUAUUACAUCAUGCUUUAAAUAUCUUUACAGCAGUCGGAUGCCAAAGACAUAACCUUGCAUAUUCAGAUGCAAUAUAUUUGGGCAAGUUUAUGGAUUUUGUGGCUCGAGAACAGCACAGUAGUCGGAAUUUGAUUUAUUUUGUGGCCAAAGACAUAACCUUGCAUAUUCAGAUGCGAUCGGCGGGCGCCCACAACUGGAAUCAAAGUACUGCCCUAAAAAUAUCUUUACAGUAACCUUGGCCUGAACUACAAAGACAUCUAAGCAGAAGGUUAAAAGGGACUUUGAAGCUUAUGGGCAAAGGGCAACACCCCAACGGCACGUAGACGUCAGCAGAUUCAUGAAUCAUAUGCCUAGGAGGUACAUGUGUUGUUGUCCCUGUUGGUGUUGAUGGACCACGGUGGUGUUCCCCACUGAGCUCCGCCAUCCGACGCAUGCCCCUCCCCAAUCUAUUCGGAUAAACUCACCAUCGACAUCUCCUUUUUCCUUUUUUUUGUUGAUAUUUUCCCUGUUGAUGCUUUUUGUUUACAUAUUUAGGAAUAUACGAAUAUAGAAUUGCUUAGUGUUUAUGAAAAAAAUUGUGCUAUUGUGUCUGUUUUAUAUUAUUGUGGAGUGACUGUUAUCAAAGGAGUUGGGAUUAUUGUGUGGUUAUCUGGAAGAGCUAAUGUUGUACUAUACAACUUUAUUAAUACAUGUGUAAAUCGGUUGCCUUAA